ensembl:misc_RNA 7SK 7SK RNA
GGAUGUGAGGUCUGUCUGGCUGUGACAUCUAUCACCCCAUUGAUUUCCAGAGUUGAUUCAGCUGAUCUGGCUGGCUAGGUGGGUGUCCCCUUCCUCCCUCACUGUUCCACGUGCUUUCCUCCUGAAGCUACUCACUAGGUCAAAGAGGAUGGCCUUCCCCAAAUAGAGAUGGUCAAAGGUAUAGGAGUAGCUGCGCUCCCCUGCUAGAACCUCCAAACAAGCUCUCGAAGACAAUCUUUAAAUGAUGCUGAAUACCAUUAACUACUGACAUACAACCAGAACUUGUUGUUGAAUUCAUUU